AAAGUAUUUAAAAAGUACACAAUUUCUAUCUUGUCUUGAUAAUGUUACCUCCUCUCCAUUCGUGUUUCAAUGUGAGGAUACCCAUGAAUUUCAAAUGCCCAGGAUCUUUAAGAUGUAUAUUGAAGUGAAAAUACACCAGAUAGUUCUUAUAACCCUUUUCUAUUUUGUGACAUUGUUCUGCUAUUUUUGUUUUUAGGCAUCUUUGAAUGAAUAUCAAAUGGCCAGGACCUUUAUGAUGUAUAUUGAAGUAAAAAU